GGCCCCCCGCGGCGGGACGGGGCCGCGCAGGUGGCAGCGCCCCGCGGGCGGCUCCGCGGAACGCCCCGCGGCGGGAGGGGGGAACGCAGCGUCGGCAUCUGCCGCCAUCGGGCCGUGCCCGGGCAAAGAACCGCGGACGCGGGGAUGGGGAGCCCGUGGGCAGCUCCGGUAGCGCAACGCGGGCCACGCACCCCUCGCACCUUCUGUUCCCAGUGGAGUGCUGACACGAGGAGCGCUGGCUGAGUACGCUGGCUGAAAGCAGGGCCGAGAGAGCUGCUGAGAGCCGCCGAGCGGUCGCGUGUUUCUUGUUCCUAAGGGUUCUGCUGCCUUUAGAAGCACCCGUGGGCUCCUCUCCUCAGUCUGCGGCGAGGAGCUGCCCACAGGGAGACACUGAAACCCAGCACUCGCCGUCUAGGAAUGAGGGCUGGGGGCAGCUCGUUGCUGCGCCAGGGAGAGGUCAGGAUCCCUCCUCUCGAUGGGUUCAGCGUCCCUUUGUGGGAUUGUUUUAUGAGAACGAAAUCGGGGUCAAGAAUUUUGGCUGUGCCUUCUCUUACAUGUCUCAUCGCCAAUGGGCGCUUCUCUGCUUCAGCAGACACACGGGAGGGAAGGAAGGAAGGAAGGAAGGAAGGAAGGAAGGAAGUGUUGGGACGCCUUUUGCACAGCGCUGCUGAUUUGUCUUGAAGAAGAGGCUGCUCUGGACAGCCUGGAGAGCAGCCGGGCUGCUUCUGCUGUGCGCAGCAGGGACCGAGGCGGGGCAGCCACCUCCCGCUGACAGCUGCCUGCCGUGCGCAUUUGCCGUGCGCUCAGAUGGAACAGAAACAAGGCAUAAAGAACAGAGCUUCCCAAGGAGGAAAAAAAUAUAACGCCCAAAUCCCAAAGCGAGCUGGUUGAAUUCUAGGCAGCCUGAUGUAGCCGUGGUGUUCCUGUUCAUUGCAGGGGAGUUGGACUAGAUGGCCUUCAGAGGUCCCUUCCAACUCUAUGGAUUCUACGAUUCUUCCCAUACGAAUGUUUCGGAGUCUCUUGGCCCCAGUUUGUCGAGGUUCCCCAAUUUUCUUAGCAAGCGCAUUUUCAGAGAAAACCUGAAAACAAAUCUUCUUGACUUCUUAACAGUUGUGUUUCCUUUGUUUCUGGUUUCCAUAGGUGUACUGAUAGAAAGAGCUUUCCUUUUUUAUGAGGGCUGCUCCAAAAGUAAUGCCUUCUAUCUUAUAAUGUUGGCCCACAGUGUCAGAGGCAGAUACUGGUGGUGUGGCAGUAGAGGUUGAACCUUCCCCCCAAAUAUUCCACUCGGUUUGCAGAGCACUUCAGCAUGCUGGUGGUGAGUGUUGCUCCUGCUGCUGUAGUGACAGCCCCUCUGCUGGGUUACCUUUGGGACAGGUAGGCUCUGCACAGGGGCUGGGUGCAGUUAUGAUGCCUGGAGGUGGAGAGAAGAGGAGCUGACAGCUUCAGGCCGGGCUGAGGCAGCAGAGCUCAAUGUUAUACACGGGGGCUUCUCCAGCCCCAGAGCAGCUUUCCUUCUUUCAGAGAGGUGUCAAAUACGGCUGCCUUCUGGCAACACAAAUUGGGUGUCUAUGGAGUUUAAUUGUAUCGUGUUCUUUACUCUCUGUCUGCUGAAGAAGGUAAACAGCACAAACAAGAAGUGUUCGGAAACAAAGAGCAAGCUGUCUGCCGCUCAGCCCGCGCUGCUUUCCAUGAAGAAUGAGUGCUAUUAUUAUUCUUUUACAAGUUUCCUUCUAAGGGAAAUAAACACCAAAGGUAGGAUUCCAAGGAAAUGACUCACAAAUAUUGGCAGUGGGCUCUGAAAAUUGGAUCCAGUCUUUGCAGAAGCCCUUAGCAGAACGCUAACCCCUCUCAUUGCAAAAUAAACUCCCAUCCAUGCCACACAGCAGCUCUGAUGUGUGUGUGAAGGGUGGAUGGGGAUGCCACGGCCCUUUUUUUUUUUUUUUUUUUUACUUUUUCCCAAUCCCCUGACAUUGCAUGGGAUGUAGCGUCCAGUAUCUGUGCUCAGCCACCAAGCUGCCCUCCCAGGUGUGCAAAGGUAACCACACACUGCGCCUCACAUUGUAGUUCUUAAUCAGGGACCCCAGGAACCAGGAAAGCAGGCACUAAAGGAUCAGACAGCUGAGCAGAGGCAGCCUGGCUGCAAUACCAUCUGCAAACAGAACCGUCUACUUAGCAUAUUUAUUUCUCAGCUGUUUAAGAUUUUGAAUCAUAAAUGCAUUCUCCGCAUCCCUUGUAAUGCACACGUUCAAAGGCUUCAGUGCUCUCUCAUGUUACUUUUGGGGUUUUGUUUGUUUGUUUUGUUUUUGGCAAUGUAAAUCUGGGUAGACGAGCAACGAAAAUUGCGUCUCUCACACGGAAUUCCUUUGCAGCUCAGUUCUGCUUAGACAGAGCCUUCAGAUUAAAGAAGAUUAAAGAUCAUUACCUUUGCAAACUCCUAUUUAAUCACUCCAAACUGAGAUGAAGCAAACGGGGACUCUGGCAUGGAGUCAGACUUUUUCAGACAGUACAGCAGCACAGCGGGACCGUGCAGAUUCCGUACUUCUCUAUGCAUUGCCACAAUUACCAUCAUCUUUCCUGCUUUGUGAUACACUUGUAGAGAUAUUAUCCCUGCAGUCUGUGGGCCAUCCACGGAGUUCACUGAGUCCCUGACUUUGGCCUCCAUCUGUCAUAAGUGUCUUUCAGGGCAAGCAGGAUGAUGCACGGUGUUGGAUUGUUGUACACUGAAUCCAAUUCUGGUUCUAUCAGAAUUCAUUCUUCUUUAACCAAGGUAAUUCUUACUGUAAUGCCAUUGAUAAGGUAUAUAACAAACAUAGAAAUGAUAACACGUAAUAUUAUAUAGCAGCUAAUACCAUACAACUCAAAUUAUUGACUGUUUUCACGCAAUAUCAAAAUAUUGGCAAAUAGAGGCCCGGUCAAUCCAAAGGGAAACAAACCCACAGGGAUACAGCACUGAGAGGCAUCAGUCCAAUCCGGGCACAGCCAGGACUGGGGCCAAGCUCCUAUUGCAGGCCUGGGAGAGGUCUGGACAAGGCCACUGGGGAUCACUCUGAGCUGGAAGGGUCAUUGGCUGUUGAUAACUGGCUCACACAGUUCAUUAUUAAAAGCUGGGGAAACGCACCACACAUGUAUUUAAUAAAUCAGUCUCUACAGGGUACAUCAUCUUAAAAAAGAAAUCCCAACAGCUAGAAGUCUGGAUGCUGAGGAAUAUACCAUUCGAUUACAAAGUAAAUUAUAUGAGCCUUCUGUGUGUGGUUGUGCUCUCGAAAAGCAUCAGUGGCUUCUUACAGCUCUAUGGCAAUGGGAGAGCAAUUUCCUCGCUUAGGGAAGCACAGUAAAUCAGAAGUAAAAGGUUCUUAAAAAAAAUAACUAGGUGGCAAUUCAUAAUCCGAGGGGAGGAAAAUGGGUUAAAAAAAGGUAGAGCACAACCAACGACUGAGAACUAAAUUGGUAGGAGAAAUGGUUCUGGGAGCCAGAGUGGGUCGCAGUAUGUCAAACUGUAGGCUGCAUUUGUUGUCUGAAAUUAUUCCAAAAGCAGAAUUAUUCCAAGAGCGAAGGAUAAAUAUCCUUGAAUAAUCCAAACCAAAAAUGAAAUAUAAAUCAGGAGUAUGACUUUGCUGGAUUCCAGGUCUGUGUCAUCUUGAAAGAAUCAACCACUUGCCCAGGUUCUGCUCCCUGUACGCAGGGAAGGCACUGGGGAAUUUCAGGAGUCAGGCUGGGCACUAAAGCUAAUUUUCUUACUCAGUUUCUAUAGUGUAUAUGCUUUUAAAUAGUUGUGUUUUUUUUCUCCCCGGGUCUGAUCCAGGCAAUACAGAACAUCUGUUUGUUUCAAAGCAUACCUGCAUGAAGGAAGUAAUCAGUAAAGCCCAAGAUGACGUAUCUAAAUGUGAGUGCAGAUUGCAGACCUGGGUUCUGUUCCCCGGGUACCAGGCAGCAGAAGCAGGUUUACCUGUGCCGCCUGGGCAGCUCUGCACACAGGUGUGAGCACUGCAGCCCCAUCCGUGUGCCAGGAGGUACACAUCCACCAUUUUGCAAAUUAUUCUGCAAAAGAUCUGUGAGAUUAAAAAAAAAAAAAAAAAAAAAAAGGAUGAAAAACCCAACAGAUUUGAAUUCAAUGUAGUUCAGUUCAGUUCAGUUUCAUUAAGGGCUUUUCACUUGCUCAGCAGCUGUUUCUUGGCCUUCACAUGAGGGUUAAUACGUGAGGCAGCUACUCCUCCUACAGGUCAGCCACAUUGAGGUCAUGGUUGUGCAGAAAAUGCUCCUGGUGUUUUGGGGGUGUGUUUUUCAGUGCCCAGCCAGGUUAUAGGCAGCCUGGUGUAUUCCUAGAGAGAAUCGAGCAUUUGCUGCUUCCCCAUUGCAGAAGAGAUGAAACCAUGAUCACAAUUGUUUGCAUUCAGUAACAAUCCCAUAAAACAUUUUAUAAGAGAUGGCUCUUUAACCUCAAGGCUUUGGCCGAAUUCCAGCUCAGAAACUAUCUUCCUACAAGUUCUCCCAUUAAACUAGAAGCGAUGUAUUUGUCUCCUCCUUUGAACUGCUCUCAGCAGUGGCCUGAGCUGCUCAGAGCUCUGUAGGCUUCAGCAUCACACCGGCUCCGGUCAGGGAUGGCGUAAGGCCAUCCAUGCACCCACUGGGCACAGGGCUACCUACCCAGGUAGUGCUUGUGAAGUGCUUCAAUACACAAUUACGAAAGGAACCAUUCGAGUGAAAAACAUAACUCCACCUUGUGUCCGGAGAAGAAACCAGGUCGGGUUAUGCACAGUGACCUGCCGAGAAAUCCAUUGACAAAGAGCAUCACCGGGGACAAGCAAAGGCUGAAGGUCUGAGUACAUACCACUGCUCUGUGUUCACAGUUUCAAGAUCCACACUCACAUGAAGACAACCUUUCCAUCUUCAGUGCAAGGCAGAAACAUUUGUCUCACGAUGGUUAUAUGGACUGUGAAUUUGUUGAAUUGUUUUACAGCUUUUGUUCUGAGUGCAGCAUUUUCCAGGGAUGUUUAAUUUGGAUUGCCCAGAAUGACAAUGAACAGUUUAAGUGUA